rnacentral:rRNA from 1 species
CCUACGGGAGGCAGCAGUGAGGAAUAUUGGUCAAUGGACGAGAGUCUGAACCAGCCAAGUAGCGUGAAGGAUGACUGCCCUAUGGGUUGUAAACUUCUUUUAUCAAGGAAUAAAACGAGGCACGUGUGCCUUUUUGCAUGUACUCUAUGAAUAAGGAUCGGCUAACUCCGUGCCAGCAGCCGCGGUAAUACGGAGGAUCCGAGCGUUAUCCGGAUUUAUUGGGUUUAAAGGGAGCGCAGAUGGGAUGUUAAGUCAGUUGUGAAAGUUUGCGGCUCAACCGUAAAAUUGCAAUUGAUACUGGCAGUCUUGAGUACAGGUGAGGUAGGCGGAAUGCGUGGUGUAGCGGUGAAAUGCUUAGAUAUCACGAAGAACCCCGAUUGCGAAGGCAGCUUACUAAACUGUGACUGACAUUGAUGCUCGAAAGUGUGGGUAUCGAACAGGAUUAGAUACCCGGGUAGUC